rnacentral:tRNA from 1 species
GCGGAGGGGGCAGAGCGGUUGAAUGCACUGGUCUUGAAAACCAGCGAGGGUGAAAGUCCUCCGAGAGUUUGACAAGCGCGCAGGACAGCGCAGCUGCCAUCAGCUUUUAAAAUGGCAUAUAGUUACACGUUAAAUUCCUCAUCUGCUAUAACUCUUAAUGGUCUAAAUCGCCCAAAGGCGAUUUUGAUCAAUCUCUCCUCCGGCA